AAUUGGAGGGGGGGCAAAAGGGAGAUCGUGCUGGGAUGGGGGCGAGCCUGCACGCGUCGUGCUUCUCGCGGCGCAGGAGCCCGAAGACGAGGGCGAGGUCGUCGGAGAGUGCGAGGCUGCCAUGGCCGGCGUCCUUGCGAGGAAAUAUCAACAGGAACAUUCUUUGCAGAUGGAGAUGGAAUUGUGUACAUGCAGGUGAUAAUUGGGGAUGCAUUUUUAUGUCGGAAUGGAAGAAUUGAGUAGUUGUUUGCAACCUUCAGUACAAUCUACUGGUAAUUUGUUUCAUUACAGAUGAUGCAGUUUUGGGACUGAUGAUGAAUGAUAAGUUAGCUAGCUAGCAAACAUUAGAAGCUAAUUUUAAAGUUGCUGAACUUCCGUAGUAACUAAACUCUGAAAUACACUAUCUAAAGUAUGUGACACUGCCUGAUAAAAUGUUAAGGAAGUGUAAGCAUUUCUUGAUACAAAUGCUCUCUCUUAUUUGCUGAUGAUCUAAUCUAAUAUUUAUUUUGCUCCAUAUAAUUCAUGCUCAUGUUAGUGAAGGUAUAAAUUGCGAGCACUUUCACCAUUAGGCAUUAAGUGCUUUAGCCUGUGUUGCUUUACUUUUCCUGUGAAUAUUAUCCACACCUGAUUAUUUAAAUCAUACCCUUUUUGAUAAGCAUGGAUGUAGUCUAUAAAUUCUAUAAGAUAAAGCUUAAGUUCAGUUUUGUUCUGAUAGUACAGAUUAGAUAAAGAUGGCAUCGAUUCUUAUCUCUGUCUAUCGUUUUUUCUUUCCUGUCUAGUAUCCAUCUUCAAUGUCUUUUAGCAAGGAGGAACGAAGAAAAGAAACAUAUUGUAUAUUUUACCUUUUAUUUUUGCUUAUCUUGGUUCUACCAUCAAUGCUUGCACUAUUUUGUCUUUACCAAUGGAAAAGCGAAGCACUGCACAUGUGUAAGUUAAAGGAACUCUUUUGGCUUACUUCUGCAAUUUCUUAAGUCUUAACAUGAUAUAAUGGCUUGAUAUUGUUGAGUUGCCAGUUUUGUAAUAGUAGUUUGAGUCAUAUAUAAGUAUGCAUUCAUUUUUGGAAAAAAAAAUAUGGAAAGAUGAGAGGGUGAGAAGUGAGAUAGGACGUGGGAUUUCUCUUUUGAUGAAGAAUCUAGCAAAGUGAAGCUGACAAGCAUAGCACAGAUCAACGGUGCUUUUCCUCUUUGCUUUGACAAAUACCAAAUAAGGCUAACACCGAUGGUAGCUUCAAAACAAGAAGAUCAUGUAAAUUCAUCCUUGUUAUCAACAAAUUGCAUGCAUUAUCACUGAGAAAAUAUCUGAUGCUGUCUGCCGAAUUGCCAAUAUUGUCAAUUUGGGGAAUUACCCUAUAAUACAUAAAAGACUUUGAUAUGUAAUACUUGCUGCUGAUGCUAAGGUUCUGAGUUGAAAACUGCAACAAGCAAAUAAAAUACAUUUUACUUCCAUUUUUUUUCUGCAUGGGUUACUUUGUCUCAUUUUGCUGUGUGGAUACUAAAGUAUAUCUCUUGCUUGUAACUUAAGAUUGGUUAUAUAGACUAGGACUCCAAAGCAUAAAGUGAUGAGUUAAGAUAACAUUAAUAAGAGAGCUUGGUACAGUCAUAUCACGUACACAUAGAUGUCCACAGCUGCAUCACUGAGGAAGUGUUAGUGCAAUGGUUAGACCAAGAAGUGCUUGAGGCAAAAUGUGCAAACAAUUUUGUGUAUAUCAGGAAUCGAGUAUUCCCAACCUUUGGCACAUACAUGCUCUUGAUAUUUUACAUGAAACUCAUAUGAUAGCUUCUUUUUUACAGAAGAAUAAGUUGAAA